rnacentral:rRNA from 1 species
CAGUCGCCACGGGAAUACGAAGGGUGCAAGCGUUACUCGGAAUUACUGGGCGUAAAGCGUGCGUAGGUGGUGGUUUAAGUCUGUUGUGAAAGCCCCGGGCUCAACCUGGGAAUUGCAGUGGAUACUGGGUCACUAGAGUGUGGUAGAGGAUAGUGGAAUUUCCGGUGUAGCAGUGAAACGCGUAGAGAUCGGAAGGAACAUCUGUGGCGAAGGCGACUAUCUGGGCCAACACUGACACUGAGGCACGAAAGCGUGGGGAGCAAACAGGAUUAGAUACCCCUGUGGUCCCUGUCUCUUAUAC